CACGGCCCAAACUCCUACGGGAGGCAGCAGUGGGGAAUAUUGGACAAUGGGGGCAACCCUUAUCCAGCAAUGCCAUGUGUGUGAAGAAGGCCCUAGGGUUGUAAAGCACUUUAGUUGGGGAGGAAAGCCUCAAGUUUAAUAGCCUUGGGGGAGGACGUUACCCAAAGAAUAAGCACCGGCUAACUCCGUGCCAGCAGCCGCGUUAAUACGGGGGGUGCAAGCGUUAAUCGGAAUUACUGGGCGUAAAGGGUCUGUAGGUGGUUUGUUAAGUCCGAUGUGAAAGCCCAGGGCUCCACCUGGGCCCGGCAGUUGCGGCUGGCACACUAGAGGAGGGGGGGGGCCUGGGGACGUG
rnacentral:rRNA from 1 species